GUGGGCAAUGAGAAGCCAUGAGAAUCGGUCUGGAGGUUUUACUGAGGACACUGUAGUCUCCUCAUUUGGGAGUUGCAGUCUGACAAUCACCAUGACAGUGAAUUAGCAUACUGGCGCAGUGUCAAAUUGGAGCCGCCAGUGAGCCAUGUAUGGGAUCUUGACCUUCGACCUCAGGCCCAUCCCUCCCCCCAUGUCAUCGGUGGCCAGCCAGCAUACAAGUUUUUGACCCUUGCCUGUCCAUGUACCUGCCUGCCUGACCACUCUGCAU